UUGCAAUGAUGUGUGAAUUUCUUCACCUGAAAAAUUAUGUGGAUCAGAAUCCUGAGCUUUUUAACCCUGAGCAAA